UAUGGCCAUAUAACGUUAAACACCGACCCCCGUACGAUCACCAAAGCUAAGCAACGUCGAACUUGGCCGGUACUUAGAUGGGUAACCGCUUGUGAAUACCAGCUGCUGUAAG